CAGGAUUCGAACCGCGAAACACUGGGCCGCCUGCAGCGGAGCGCGCGAACUUAACCACUCGGCCACGGGGCCAGCCCCCUAAGUAACGUUUUUGUUGGUUAACCUAAAUCAAGAGAGCCUAUCUGCCUGUGUAACCAUCCCAACAAGUGAAAAGACACAGGGCCAGUGUGUGGGACCAGAACAAGGAAUGAUGGAGAGCAAAGAUGGAAGAAGAAAACUAGUGGAACAAGUCCUUUAUCCUGGGCAAGGAUGGAGUAGGAGGCCUCAGGUUCAUGCCUUCAGAUUUCCUUAAAACAACGCACUCUUCUGCAUUCCAGAGAGAGGCCUGUAUCUGCAGGAAUUGCUAUCCUUUUCUGGACUCAUUAUGAGCUCAGAGACAGAGAUGGAGAGAGGCUGGAUCAAAUGGAGAAGCCAAGGCUCUGGGCAUCCCUUUUUGGAGCAUGCUCCAAACACCCCUCACGUGGUUCCAGACACAGGAAAAUGUGUAAUGAGAGAACAGUGAGCCUCCCAAAUCUGAGGAUGAGAAACCUAUUGACAGAGAGUGAACCUUUUUGGUCUCACU